rnacentral:tRNA from 1 species
GGUGGCUCAGUGGUAGAGUGCUUACCUUGCAUGCAGGAGGCCCUGGGUUCGAUUCCUCAGCACCA